rnacentral:rRNA from 1 species
UACGUAGGGAGCAAGCGUUGUCCGGAUUCACUGGGUGUAAAGGGUGCGCAGGCGGGAGAGUAAGUCGGAUGUGAAAUCUCCGAGCUCAACUCGGAAAUGGCAUUGGAAACUACCUUGCUCGAGGGUUGGAGGGGGGACUGGAAUGCUUGGUGUAGCAGUGAAAUGCGUAGAUAUCAAGCGGAACACCAGUGGCGAAGGCGAGUCCCUGGACAACUCCUGACACUGAGGCACGAAAGCUAGGGGAGCAAACAGG